UUUAAAACCUGCAUGAAUUAGUAUUUCAUGUUUCAUCAUUUUGGGUAAGUUAACAUAUUGUUUUUGAUCGAUAAUUUCGAUUUUUCCAGUUGGAGAACUAUCAAACGCGCUAACAAAUGUGAGCAACGAGGAUUUCAAGGCGAAAUACGGGUUAGAUAAGCCAGACGUGAAUGAUGAGCUGAUAUUCUCUUGUCGGUCAGGCAAACGCAGUUUGAUGGCGUAUAGUGCUGCACAGAAGGCUGGAUACAACAAUAUUUACAACUAUUCUGGCGGUUGGUUAGAUUGGGCAAACAAUUCUGCUUCUUGAAGGUUUGGCUGAUUGCUUAGAACCAUGUAAACGAGAUAACUUCGAUGGAAUGAUGUAGACUUGAAGAAUAUCACACAGCGGGACGAGCAUUGACAACACAUUCAGUUUGGAGGCACCCAGCAGUUUUUGAUUAUGGUUGUAUUUGUAAGCAAAAAUAAUAUAUUAUAGUAAUUCUAAUAAAACGACCUAUUUCAAAAUUUG